rnacentral:siRNA from 1 species
GGUGGUCCAAAAUAUGUAUGAAUG